rnacentral:tRNA from 1 species
GGGGUUGGGGCUCAGUGGUAGAGCACUUGCCUAGCGUAAGGCACUGGGUUCGAUCCCCAGCACCACA